rnacentral:tRNA from 1 species
GGUAGAGCUCAGUGGUAGAGCGCAUGCUUAGCAUGCACAAGGUCCUAGGUUCAAUUCCCAGUACUUCCA